AUAGCAGGUAAGGUGAAUUGACAUAGCAGGUUAGGCUAGGUGAAUUGACAUGGAAGGUUUGGUGAAUUGACAUGGCAGGUUAGGUUAGGUGAAUUGAUAUAGCAGGUUAGGUGAAUUGACAUGGAAGGUUUGGUGAAGUGAUAUAGCAGGUUAGGUGAAUUGACAUAGCAGGUUAGGUGAAUUGACAUAGCAGGUUAGGUGAAUUGACAUGGAAGGUUUGGUGAAUUGACAAGGCAGGUUAGGUGAAUUGACAUGGCAGGUUAGGUGAAUUGACAUGGAAGGUUUGGUGAAUUGACAUGGAAGGUUUGCUGAAUUGACAUAGCAGGUUAGGUGAAUUGACAUGGCAGGUUAGGUGAAUUGACA
ensembl:lncRNA